UACGUAGGGGGCAAGCGUUGUCCGGAUUUAUUGGGCGUAAAGCGCGUGUAGGCGGCCAGGUAGGUCCGCUGUGAAAACCCGAGGCUCAACCUCGGGACGUCGGCGGAAACCAUUUGGCUAGAGUCCGGAAGAGGAGAGUGGAAUUCCCGGUGUAGCGGUGAAAUGCGCAGAUAUCGGGAAGAACACCCGUGGCGAAGGCGGCUCUCUGGGACGGUACUGACACUGAGAAGCGAAAGCAUGGGGAGCGAACAGG
rnacentral:rRNA from 1 species